AGCUAUAGCUAGGGGUGCUUGGCUCAACCAGGCUGAGAUAGACCCUUAGAACCUGAGACUGGGUAAUACCAGCGGAGGGAAGCUGUAAUUAGAGGAA
rnacentral:ncRNA from 2 species